UACGUAGGGGGCAAGCGUUGUCCGGAUUCAUUGGGCGUAAAGAGCGUGUAGGCGGCCAGGUAGGUCGGUUGUGAAAACUGGAGGCUCAACCUUCAGAGGUCGACCGAAACCAUCUGGCUAGAGUCCGGGAGAGGAGAGUGGAAUUCCUGGUGUAGCGGUGAAAUGCGCAGAUAUCAGGAAGAACACCCGUGGCGAAAAGCGGCUUUCUGGAACGGUACCGAGCUGAGACGCGAAAGCGUGGGGAGCGAACAGG
rnacentral:rRNA from 1 species